GACGAACGCUGGCGGCGUGCUUAACACAUGCAAGUCGAACGGGCCUUGUCCCCUUUUUUUUUGGGGGUGGGGUUAGUGGCGAACGGGUGAGUAACACGUGAGUAACCUGCCCCUCACUUCUGGAUAACCGCUUGAAAGGGUGGCUAAUACGGGGUGUUCUGGCCUGCUCGCAUGGGUGGGUUUGGAAAGAUUCGACCGGUUUGGUUGUUUUGGUGGGGUGUGGGCUCGCGGCCUAUCAGCUUGUUGGUGGGGUGAGGGCCUGCCAAGGCUUUGACGGGUAGCCGGCCUGAGAGGGUGGGCGGUCACACUGGGACUGAGACACGGCCCAGACUCCUACGGGAGGCAGCAGUGGGGAAUAUUGCACAAUGGGCGCAAGCCUGAUGCAGCGACGCCGCGUGAGGGAUGGAGGCCUUCGGGUUGUGAACCUCUUUCGCCAGUGAAGAAGGUCCUGCUCUUUGUGGUGGGGUUGACGGUAGCUGGGUUAAUGAAGCGCCGGCUAACUACGUG
rnacentral:rRNA from 1 species